GGAUCCUGAAGGAGCAGCAGCCAGUGCUACUCAGUAGCUGCCACGGAGACAACUCUCCAGCUCUUCGCUUGCUUUUUUUGGUCUAAGACUGGGCUGGGAGCUUCUACUGACCACAAGAGGAAAAGCUAACCUAAAGCAGACAGAGGUUAACUUCUGAAAAUCCAGGAGAGGAUACAGGCUCACCAGCAGAAGCAUGUAGAAGCAAGGACAGAGUGUGAAAACCGCCUGGGGUAACCUAAGACGCAGCAGAGCUCAAACAGCUUCUACCAGUCUCUCCAGGUCCGAGGAUCGAAAUCUGCUAAUAACUAAGUUCUGUACUGUCGAGUUCCAGGAAAAGAUGCCAUUAUCCUACCAGAUUUUCCCAUGACUGAAGUGACACUGGACACCUUUAACUGUGGAGACACGGCUCUCCCUGGAUGCCCACCUCUACAGGUAGGAUGCAGAGCGCACACUGCAGAGGUGCUCUCCUGGGAUGCCCACUAAAGUCAUGCCCCUGAGCACUCCAAGAAAUCAGUGGUUUCUUCUCUGCCAUGGCUUUGUCUUUUGAAAACUGCUAUAUAAACUGGAAUGGAAUAUAAGCACAGUACUGGCUUCUGACACGGCAUAAAACUGUUAA